AGUGAACGCUGGCGGUAGGCCUAACACAUGCAAGUCGAACGGCAGCACAGGAGAGCUUGCUCUCUGGGUGGCGAGUGGCGGACGGGUGAGGAAUACAUCGAAAUCUACUCUGUCGUGGGGGAUAACGUAGGGAAACUUACGCUAAUACUGCAUACGACCUACGGGUGAAAGCAGGGGACCUUCGGGCCUUGCGCGAUUGAAUGAGCCGAUGUCGGAUGAGCUAGUUGGCGGGGAAAAGGCCCACCAAGGCGACGAUCCGUAGCUGGUCUGAGAGGAUGAUCAGCCACACUGGAACUGAGACACGGUCCAGACUCCUACGGGAGGCAGCAGUGGGGAAUAUUGGACAAUGGGCGCAAGCCUGAUCCAGCCAUACCGCGUGGGUGAAGAAGGCCUUCGGGUUGUAAAGACCUUUUGUUGGGAAAGAAAUCCAGCUGGCUAAUACCCGGUUGGGAUGACGGUACCCAAAGAAUAAGCACCGGCUAACUUCGUGCCAGCCGCCGCCGUAA
rnacentral:rRNA from 1 species